GAGAAAAGAAAAAAAAAAGAGGUUUUAGAGGAGUGGGUUAGACAAGAAAAUAAUGCAAGUUUUAAUUAGAUACUGCAAUAAGUACACAAAUUCAAGUUUUACCAUUGGGAUAUUAAGCUGGCUUUACAAAUGCUUUCUAAAGCACAGAUGUAGAGAAGGUUGGGAGAGAGAAGCCUUCAUGAUUCCAGAGAGAGCGCGAGCAGUUGUAUGCUAGAGGUAAAACUUCGCCAAAAAACUGAAAAUAUAAUGUAAUUACUAUUUUAAAGAUAAAAUUUAUCACGGUGCAUGUUACCAUCUGACCUCUCUAACAAGGAAACCCCAGGUAUAUCUUAUAAGGUAGAUAAAGUAAAGAUGUUAAAAAGGGAAAAGGUAGCAAUGUCAGAACACACAAGUGUCCAGUAUUUUUAGACCAGAGAUUGAGUUCAGAGCGGUAACAGAUACAUUCCAAAUCUACUGCGUAUUUUUGUUUGGUAGUUUAUUGGUAAAAUUUAAGCAACUUUUAAGUAGAAGUUUGUGUUUAUGGCAGCAUCAUACGGGUAAUAAACUUAACUCAAUUGUAGGUGAAAUGUUUAAACUCUCUUUACAUAAUAGGGCAGUUAGCUUCUGUAUAGAAUAAAGUAAUUCUGAGUUCACUUUAAAUCUAGUAUCCCUCCUUUCUCUACAUUAAGAUAAGACUACAAAAGUGACCAAACUACUUUACUGGGAAGGUUUCCUAUAGAAUUGUAGUUAAUAAAACAUUACAUGCUAACUGCCACCAGAUGUCACUAGAACAGAGUACAUGUAAACUUGGAAGGAUUUGAUUUUUAUUAGUACAUUUUGAUUUCACUAUCAACAGCCAAUGAAAAUUAUAUCCAUCAAUAAGUUAUAUUUAUGGAUAGACAAUUAAACAGAUAUUACUGGAAAAUGAAUUAGAUUUUGAUACGAGGAUAUUUUGUAUGUGUUAACAUGCUGACAAUUUAAGUUACAACACCAAUAUCUUUGAAUCUGUGUCUAACAUUAAAUAAUCCCGUCUUCCCCUAUUGUGUGACUCUCCCAUAAUUUUGCACAACUGAAAAUUUAAAUCAAUUUGCUUUAAGAAAGUGCUUCAAAGUAAACAAUGAAAUUAUAAAGAUCAAGUUAUGCCAGGCAUUAUAAGCAGUUAUCUAGAUAGUGAUACUAUUUCCUUAAAAGGAAAGGAAGAAAAUUAAUUACAGUCAUGGCCCAACCUGCACCAAAAUCUUUGCCUAUUCCAUUUGAAAGCAUUGUUAAAAUACUUAUAACAUCAACAUAGCCUACAUAAAACUACACAAUACAGCUGGGUCUUUGUAACUAUUUUUUGUUUAUACAUUGACCUUGGUCCCUAACAUAUUAAGUCUACAACAGUGAUCAAAAAAAUGCCAAGAAUGUCUUGGAUGUCCUCAUGUUGCUUGUAUCUAGUAUUCUGAGAGAAGUUUCUUUUGGAAUGGAGUCUUCUUCCAAGUAGGGUGUAUUUUAUAGAAUCUUAGAUUUAAUGCACAAGUAGACAGACAAACGUUAUAUAAAUAGCCUACAGGUACCUAAUUGGACAGACUUUAUUCAUUGUUUCAGAAUCAAGAUUUUUGAGGUUGUCAACAGGGAAUUGUUAAGAGUUAGUGCAAAACAUGUAUGAUUUAAACUAGGUAGUUCCAUACAAUCAAUUCAAGAAUUUGGAGAAGAAGUUUUAAGAGAAGUCACUUGAGAGCAAGUCUACACUUAACAAUAACAUUCAACAUCAUUAUGACACUGUUUUAGACUCCAAACAUUUUAAUGGAAACAUACCUAGUGCAAAUGGCUGGCAGACUGCAUUUAAUGCAACUGAUACAUAAGCUACGCUAGCUUGUUAAAGUCUGUAGGCACAUGACCAUAUGAUAAAGAUAGUUAAGUACCCGUGUUCACUCAUUUAGGACUGCUAAAUACAAAUCUAACCCUGGAAAAUAGAGAGACCACAAUUAAACACCAUGGUUUGUGUGUGUAUAUUGUGGAGAUUUUAAAAAGUCUUUUAAUACAGAU